GACGAACGCUGGCGGCGUGCUUAACACAUGCAAGUCGAACGGAAAGGCCCUGCUUUUGUGGGGUGCUCGAGUGGCGAACGGGUGAGUAACACGUGAGUCACCUGCCCUUGACUUUGGGAUAACUUCAGGAAACUGGGGCUACUACCGGCUAGGAGCUCCUGCUGCAUGGUGGGGGUUGGAACGUUUCGGCGGUUGGGGAUGGACGUUCGGGUUAUCAGCUUGUUGGUGGGGUAGUGGCUUACCAAGGCUUUGACGGGUAGCCGGCCUGGGAGGUUGGACGGCGACAAUGGGACUGAGAGACGGCCCAGACUGCAACGGUAGGCAACGGGGGGGAAUAUGACACAAGCGGCGGAAGCGUGAGGCGACAGCGCCGCGAGUGUGAAGACGGCCUUCUGGUGGGAAACGGCAUUCGCCUGAUACGAAGCGGGAUUGACGUUAAUAAGUGAAUAAGCACCGGCUAACUACGUG
rnacentral:rRNA from 1 species